rnacentral:lncRNA from 1 species
AGGUGGUCGCUGACCUGGCAGGUUAUCAUCCACUUCCCAGGAUUCUCGGCUAUCAUUUCUGUUGUAAGGAAGGUGGCUGGGAACAGGUUGACGACAUCAGUCCGAUGCCCUCUGCUGAUGAAGGUGUUACCAUAGAAAUAGAUAGAAUGGAUGUCUAUUUCAUUCCCCAUUCCAAAUAGGUGCCAGGACACAGAUUCUCCAACACACAUAUCAGGCUCCGGGAAGUUUCCGAAGAGGUAUCCAUUGAGGGCUGGAAACAGAAACACGCUAGUGGAAGAGACUCCCCUGCAGAGGCGACUGGGACCAGAAAUAGAAAACACUCAAUAAAAGUGAAGAUCAGCAUACACUGAGAACAGCCUCGGAGCUGCUGUGGGAACGCAAUAUGAGGAGUUAUUGAAGGCUAUUACUGAAAUGAGGAGAGAGAAUCCCCUAACAGAGCCUUUGUGCCACCACUCAAGUUGAAGAAUAUCACUGGGAAUCAAAAAUAAAGUAUAAAU